CUUCACCGAGCCCAGCCACAGGGGCCGGUCGGCCGGUCGGUCCUGCCCGUAGGUGGCAAGGAGCGCCUGAGCCUC
rnacentral:antisense_RNA from 1 species